UGCUCAGGACGAACGCUGGCGGCGUGCUAAUACAUGCAAGUCGAGCGGACAGAUGGGAGCUUGCUCCCUGAUGUUAGCGGCGGACGGGUGAGUAACACGUGGGUAACCUGCCUGUAAGACUGGGAUAACUCCGGGAAACCGGGGCUAAUACCGGAUGGUUGUUUGAACCGCAUGGUUCAAACAUAAAAGGUGGCUUCGGCUACCACUUACAGAUGGACCCGCGGCGCAUUAGCUAGUUGGUGAGGUAACGGCUCACCAAGGCAACGAUGCGUAGCCGACCUGAGAGGGUGAUCGGCCACACUGGGACUGAGACACGGCCCAGACUCCUACGGGAGGCAGCAGUAGGGAAUCUUCCGCAAUGGACGAAAGUCUGACGGAGCAACGCCGCGUGAGUGAUGAAGGUUUUCGGAUCGUAAAGCUCUGUUGUUAGGGAAGAACAAGUACCGUUCGAAUAGGGCGGUACCUUGACGGUACCUAACCAGAAAGCCACGGCUAACUACGUGCCAGCAGCCGCGGUAAUACGUAGGUGGCAAGCGUUGUCCGGAAUUAUUGGGCGUAAAGGGCUCGCAGGCGGUUUCUUAAGUCUGAUGUGAAAGCCCCCGGCUCAACCGGGGAGGGUCAUUGGAAACUGGGGAACUUGAGUGCAGAAGAGGAGAGUGGAAUUCCACGUGUAGCGGUGAAAUGCGUAGAGAUGUGGAGGAACACCAGUGGCGAAGGCGACUCUCUGGUCUGUAACUGACGCUGAGGAGCGAAAGCGUGGGGAGCGAACAGGAUUAGAUACCCUGGUAGUCCACGCCGUAAACGAUGAGUGCUAAGUGUUAGGGGGUUUCCGCCCCUUAGUGCUGCAGCUAACGCAUUAAGCACUCCGCCUGGGGAGUACGGUCGCAAGACUGAAACUCAAAGGAAUUGACGGGGGCCCGCACAAGCGGUGGAGCAUGUGGUUUAAUUCGAAGCAACGCGAAGAACCUUACCAGGUCUUGACAUCCUCUGACAAUCCUAGAGAUAGGACGUCCCCUUCGGGGGCAGAGUGACAGGUGGUGCAUGGUUGUCGUCAGCUCGUGUCGUGAGAUGUUGGGUUAAGUCCCGCAACGAGCGCAACCCUUGAUCUUAGUUGCCAGCAUUCAGUUGGGCACUCUAAGGUGACUGCCGGUGACAAACCGGAGGAAGGUGGGGAUGACGUCAAAUCAUCAUGCCCCUUAUGACCUGGGCUACACACGUGCUACAAUGGACAGAACAAAGGGCAGCGAAACCGCGAGGUUAAGCCAAUCCCACAAAUCUGUUCUCAGUUCGGAUCGCAGUCUGCAACUCGACUGCGUGA
rnacentral:rRNA from 1 species